rnacentral:rRNA from 1 species
UACGUAGGGUGCAUGCGUUGUCCGGAAUUAUUGGGCGUAAAGAGCUCGUAGGCGGUUUGUCGCGUCUGCCGUGAAAGUCCGGGGCUCAACUCCGGAUCUGCGGUGGGUACGGGCAGACUAGAGUGAUGUAGGGGAGACUGGAAUUCCUGGUGUAGCGGUGAAAUGCGCAGAUAUCAGGAGGAACACCGAUGGCGAAGGCAGGUCUCUGGGCAUUAACUGACGCUGAGGAGCGAAAGCAUGGGGAGCGAACAGGA